CCUACUUGCUAUUUCAAUAUUAGUUCACAUAAUUCGUGUAUUCUUAAUAUUGUUGCUUUACUAGUAUGCAUCUGUACAAUUUGUUACUUUUUUGUUUUUGCAAUUAAGUGUAUGUUAGGUCUAUGCAACUGUAAAUAAGGCAUACUUGCAUGAUCAUUAGUACACGAAGAAGUGAAUAUAAGGGAACAUCAUUUCAUCAGGAAAUGUUAAACAUAAAUCUGUGUAUGCAUGCUUAUAUUCUAUAACGAAUUAUAGUAAGUUAUAAAUGUGUGUAAGAGAAAGAGAGAUAUAAC
rnacentral:lncRNA from 1 species